rnacentral:tRNA from 3 species
UCUACGAUAGCUUAAGGUAAAGCAUUUGAUUGUUAAUCAAAAAAAUAUCAGUUCAAUUCUGAUUUGUAGAA